CAAGUCGAGCGAGGCGGCCCGCAAGGGUCAGUCGAGCGGCGAACGGGUGAGUAACGCGUGGAUAACCUGCCCUUUAGUGGGGAACAACCAGGGGAAACUCUGGCUAAUACCGCAUAAGACCGUAAGGUGAAAGGGGGCUCGCAAGAGCUCUCGCUGAAGGAGGGGUCCGCGUCCGAUUAGCUAGUUGGUAGGGUAAUGGCCUACCAAGGCGACGAUCGGUAGCCGGCCUGAGAGGGUGAUCGGCCACACUGGAACUGAGACACGGUCCAGACUCCUACGGGAGGCAGCAGUGGGGAAUUUUGCGCAAUGGGCUAACGCCUGACGCAGCAACGCCGCGUGGAGGAUGAAGGUCUUUGGAUUGUAAACUCCUGUCAGCGGGGAAAAAGCGACCGGUGCUCAUACCACCGGGAGUUGAUUGUACCCGCAGAGGAAGCCCCGGCUAACUCUGUGCCAGCAGCCGCGGUAAUACAGAGGGGGCAAGCGUUAUUCGGAAUUAUUGGGCGUAAAGGGCGCGUAGGCGGCUUCGCAAGUGGAAGGUGAAAUCCCUCGGCUUAACCGAGGAACUGCCCUCCAAACUGCGUUGCUUGAGGCCGGGAGAGGUGAGUGGAAUUCCCAGUGUAGCGGUGAAAUGCGUAGAUAUUGGGAGGAACACCAGUGGCGAAGGCGGCUCACUGGACCGGUUCUGACGCUGAUGCGCGAAAGCGUGGGGAGCAAACGGGAUUAGAUACCCCGGUAGUCCACGCCGUAAACGAUGAGUGCUUGGUGUAGCGGGUAUCGACCCCUGCUGUGCCGAAGUCAACACAUUAAGCACUCCGCCUGGGGAGUACGGUCCCAAGGCUGAAACUCAAAGGAAUUGAC
rnacentral:rRNA from 1 species